GAUGAACGCUAGCGGCAGGCCUAAUACAUGCAAGUCGAACGGUGUCUUCGGACAUAGUGGCGCACGGGUGCGUAACACGUAUGCAACCUACCUUACAUUGGGGGAUAGCCUUUCGAAAGGGAGAUUAAUACCGCAUAAGACAGUAGCUGGGCAUCCAGCAGCUGUUAAAGAUUUAUCGAUGUAAGCUGGGCAUGCGUCCAAUUAGCUAGUUGGUGAGGUAACGGCUCACCAAGGCAAUGAUUGGUAGGGGAACUGAGAGGUCAAUCCCCCACACUGGCACUGAGAUACGGGCAAGACUCCUACGGGAGGCAGCAGUAGGGAAUAUUGGGCAAUGGACGCAAGUCUGACCCAGCCAUGCCGCGUGCAGGAUGAAGGCGUUAUGCGUUGUAAACUGCUUUUAUACAGGAAGAAACGACUCUUGCGAGAGGCAUUGACGGUACUGUAUGAAUAAGCACCGGCUAACCUCGUGCCAGCCGCCGCAGUAACAC
rnacentral:rRNA from 1 species